rnacentral:misc_RNA from 1 species
UUUCAUUACCUAUCUGACGCUAGCGUCUAGUCGAUCACGUGACCUCUUUUUGAACGCUAGCGUCAAAAGAAAAAAGCUGGAUUUGUUCAGCUUCAAGCGUCAAGCAGUGCCUCAAAAAUGUCUGUGGAAAACAUAAUAUUCAACAUUUAAAAAGGAAGCUCCCAAUGACAACUAAUAUUCCAGAAUCAAAAAGAAAAUUCAAAACAGGUUUGUCAUUCGACGAAGAAGAGCUGUUGAUUCUGGAAGUACAAAAACGAGAAGAUGGAAUUUUCAAUUAGAUAUUAGACAAAGAAAUCCGAAAGAAAGAAAUAAAUUGUGGCAGGAAGUUUCUGAGGCAUUAAAUGGUGUAAUUAGCCCAGAAACAGCUAAAAAUAAAUUUAAAUCUUUACAUGAUACUUAUCGUAAAAUUAUUCAAUCUGAACAAAAGGCAAGUGGAUCUGCAACACCAAAUACUACUCGCUUGUGGCAACAUUAUAAUAAUAUGGAAUUUUUGCGUGACUCUUGUUUGGUCAAAACCACGGCAUCAAAUAUUUCUAGAACAAGAGCAUCGUUCAAUGAUUCGGAUCAGUCAUCAGAAGAAACUAGGAAUGUUCGGUCAGAUAAUCUCAAAGAAAACAGUGCUAUUGAGAGAAUUGCUAAUGCUUUGUGCGAUACUUCCAACGAUGAUAUUAUUUUACCGC